rnacentral:rRNA from 1 species
UACGUAGGGGGCUAGCGUUGUCCGGAAUCAUUGGGCGUAAAGAGCGUGUAGGCGGUCCGGCAAGUCUGCUGUGAAAGUCGGGGGCUCAACCCUCGAAUGCCGGUGGAUACUGUCGGGCUAGAGUGCGGAAGAGGCGAGUGGAAUUCCUGGUGUAGCGGUGAAAUGCGCAGAUAUCAGGAGGAACACCGAUUGCGAAGGCAGCUCGCUGGGACGUAACUGACGCUGAGACGCGAAAGCGUGGGGAGCAAACAGG